rnacentral:rRNA from 1 species
AGCGGCGGACGGGUGAGUAACACGUAGGCAACCUGCCCCAUAGCCUGGGAUAACUACCGGAAACGGUAGCUAAUACCGGAUAAUUCCUUUUCCCUCCUGGGAAGAGGAUGAAAGACGGAGUAAUCUGUCGCUGAGGGAUGGGCCUGCGGCGCAUUAGCUAGUUGGUGGGGUAACGGCUCACCAAGGCGACGAUGCGUAGCCGACCUGAGAGGGUGAACGGCCACACUGGGACUGAGACACGGCCCAGACUCCUACGGGAGGCAGCAGUAGGGAAUCUUCCGCAAUGGGCGCAAGCCUGACGGAGCAAUGCCGCGUGAGUGAUGAAGGUUUUCGGAUCGUAAAGCUCUGUUGCCAGGGAAGAACGUCUUAUAGAGUAACUGCUAUAAGAGUGACGGUACCUGAGAAGAAAG